UUUGACGACAUUUUAGUCUACAGUGCCUCUCUUGAAGAUCACACAAUCCACUUGCAAUCAGUGCUUGAGUUGUUAAGAAGGGAUCAAUGGUAAGUCAAACGCUCAAAGUGCUCUUUCGCUCAACGCCAGUUAUCCUAUUUGGGCCAUAGUAUCAGCCAGCAUGGGGUUGCCACUGAAACCCACAAAAUUAAGAACAUUGCCAACUGGUCUUCUCCGCAAUCAGUCAAAGAAGUCCGCAUCUUCUUAGGUUUGGCCGGCUAUUACAGGCGCUUCGUUCGCCAUUUCGGCAUCAUUGCAAAGCCACUGACACAUCUCCAGAAGAAACAUGGGGAGAUCCUGAGCUUUGAGGCAACUAAAGAAACAGGAUGCUUUUCAGUUAUAUUUAAGAACAGAAGAGGAAGACAAAGCAACCCUAGGAUUUCUCUGCUCCCAGUGCUUAAUACGAAAAGCUCGACAUAA
rnacentral:rRNA from 1 species